CUAGUGACUGAUUAUCAAAAUCACAGGGCUUAGUUUAAGACUUUGAUAGAUUAUGGCUGAUAUGUGAUCAGUGUUUUAUUUCGUAAGAUCAACAUCGGCCAUAACAGUAAUGGUCCCAAGGUAGCAAAAUUCCUUGUCGUUUAAGUAACGACCUGCAUGAAGGAUUUAACGAUUAGGUAACUCUAUGAGUCCAACAGUCGUUUAAUUAGUAAUCUGAGCGAAGAUACUCUAGCUUUAUUGUUUGAGGACAAGAAGACCCUUUGAAUCUUCAU
rnacentral:rRNA from 1 species